UGCUAACGCGACUAUCCUGCUCUGUCCGCCAUUGAGUCCUGCAACAAUCAAACGCACUCCUCGUAGACAGGCAGCACUGCGGAGACACCAGGCGAGAGUGUGCCAACAGCGGCCUCUAGCGACACGCCCGGGAAUCAGAGGGACAAUGAUGCUUUGCGGCUGCAGCCUUGUGCGACGUUUCUAAGGGUUACUAUACUAUAACUAAACCGCCAAGCAGCUGCAGAAUGCAGACAGUUAAAUUUGGGAAAAAGAUCAGAACAUUUCUUCCGCUGCUGCAUCCGUUUACUCCAACAUACCACAUUUCAUCCCAAUGAAGAAACAAGCUGACUGGAUGUCAUAUGGUUUUUUAAAAACAAAGGUGGAGUGUGAUACUGCGGAGAACGAAUGGAGCGUCGGUGUGUGUCCUACCUGUGUCGGGUCGGUCGGCGUCGGAGGAGAAGCUGCAGCACAGUCACUCAGUUCUCAGAGAGGAUACAGCUCCACUGUCCGCCGCAGCCUUAUCAGCCUCUAUCCCUGUCUCUGUCUUUAUCUCUCUCUCUCUCUCUCUCUCUCUCCAAGUUUCUCUCCUCCUCCUCCCUUCUCUCUCUCUCUCUCUCUCUCUCUCAUUGUAUCUCCUCACAUUUCUCUCUCGCUUUCUCCCGCUACCUCUCGCUUUCUCCUCCCCCUCCUCCUCUUCUCUCCCCCUACCUCUCCUUGUAUGGAGAGGCGGUUAACAGCCUCUCCUCCGCUGUCCCUCUCUCCCUCUAUCUUUCUCUCUCCAGCCUCUCGGUGGCUGCGUAAACUCGGCAACCUCUUUGCUGACAAGGUAAUCAACACCACAUUGGCCUCCUUUAACAUACACCACUCAGCAUUGUGUUUUCUUACCCGCUCUGUCAGACGCGAGAGGCGUAGGUGUGCAGAAUAAUGGCAGGAGAGGAGAAAAGGGGAGAGAUGAGGAGUUGGGGCUUAUGCACAGACACGCAACCCGGACAACAGACGUCUGGACAGAAGCUUUUUACUUUCCGCAGGUCAUUUACUGAUUGGACAUGGUGGGAAUUAAAGAGUUUCAAAUGGU